UUAAAGGAUAAAUUUGGGGUGGGAUUUGGGUUUUCUGUGCAUUACUUAAAUUUUGCAUUUUUUUUUCUUCUGGAUUUUCAAUUAAGAAAUGAAUAAAUUUGGGGGUUUCUGGUUUUGUAUUUUGCUGUUUAUAUGCUGGAAUUACAGGACAAGGAGUUGGACCCUGGAUGUGCUCUGCUUCGUCCAUCAUGUGUCUGCAUGUCCUCAUUCACAAGAUAAGUACCAUUUGUAUACUUGAUUUUCUACUGUUUGGUUUGGUUUUAAUUCUCUCUGCCAUUCUCACUCCACACUCUUUGUCUCUCACUCAGUUCAAAGCUCUUCCAACUUUUUCGCACAAAUUGCUCAAACAUUCCAGCUCUCAAACAUCUCAGAUCCCUCACUCAGUUCAAAAGCACGAAGGGACCGGUCGAUACGAAGCGCAUCUAUGGGACAAUGGUUGCAACAAAGAAGGGCAGAGCAGGAAGGGUAGGUAAGCUGGGGAAUUACAAUCAAAUGAUGAAUCUUCGGUUUACUUGGGCAAAUCCAGCAGCCCUCUCUCGCUCUCAAUUUGUUUUGAGGAGACCGUGUAAAGGCUCUCAUUCAGCUCGAUAUACAUAGUUUAGGAUUAAGAUGAUAUCCCAGUGUUUUUUCUCGGUGACGUACCAAGGGGGUAAUGCGUAUCAGGAGUACAUUACAUAAGAUUUGAUGCUGAGAUAGGUGGCCAGUUUCAGUUUGAGUUAUGCAAAUAUUGAAUUCGGGCCAGUCUCCUUUUCGGGCCUACUGAUUGGCAUGUC